AUUCAAGGAUGCGGAGAUUACGGCAUUAACGUUUGCAACAUAAAGACCGUAUCCGUUCUACAUUUAAGAGCGCCUCCUUCUUAACCAUUCUUUCACGCGCGUCUACGCGAUUCCGUUGUUAUUUACUACUUAGAAACUCGUCUUCCAAUUGAAAACUCGUAGUUUCUUCUUAGUCUCGGAACGAAUCGUUAACACCGAUAAGAGAAAAUAAUUGCGAACAACGCUUCUCGGGAAAAAUCCUCUCCUAGAGAAUAUCUUUCAUUUUGAUAAGACGUUUUAUACCAUAUUAGUAACCGUAUUUGAUUUAGAAUUCAGUUGUUUGAAUCUUUCUUGGCGACAAGAAAAAAGAAAAAAAAGAGCAAAAUAUAGCAACGACGAUAAUACAUGUUAAAAUUAAAAUUAGCGCGCACGAAGGACGACCAUGUCAAUUGAUAUCGAAGCUCGUGCGUAUGUAUACGCAUAGAUUAUACGAGUUUGUCUGCGAGUUCCUCUUGGUGCAACGAGUCGAGACUGUUGCUACAUACGAGACAAUAUGUCGCGCAGGUUAUCGACUAACGUGUCCGGAACCAAAAAUAUUCGAUUUAUCUCGCAAAGAGCCAACGAGAUAAUACGUCCUUUCUCCUGAAAUAUCGUCGUCGAAGCGGGGGAAAAGAAAGUUUAAUGUCUUUAUUUACUUCCGCCAUAAUAGAUUCGUCAAAAAUCAUUCCUAGAAAUAGAAGAAAAUAUUGAAGUCGCGAUAAAACGCUAUCGAGAAAUUUCGCGAGUCGAGGGGGAAAUUUGUUCCAACAAGUGCGUUAAGGAUUACAUCAUUUCUUCGGUUUAUUUCGUAAACACCCUGGAAAAAGAGUCAACAACGAAUGAUGAUGAUAUUCGGAGAAGGAGAACUGCUACCAGAAUCGAAGGAAGAUUCAAGAAACUCGAAGACCUGCGAUGGACGAAUCGAUUAGAUCGUUUAGAUCGAUAGGCGAAAAAUUAUCGAACCGUCAAGAGCUGUUAAUCGAUAUUACUAUCGAUGGAUUGCACGUGUAUUCGCUUGAAAUCGAAGCGCGUACGUGACGCAGGUCAUGCCUACUUCGCGGAUCCGAACAAACGACUAAAUAAUUCUAAAUCGUUCUUAUCUCAUUUGCGUAUCGUUUAAUAGACGACAAUAGACGAGCCGGCUCGAACUCGUACGCAUAGGAUGGAAAAAAAUGGCGAGAACUUUUUCGAACGGUUUGCCAUCUCAUUCGACCGCGACAGCUUUGUGAAUGACUCGUUCAUUGAUUCGGCCAUUGAUUCGGCCAUUGAUUCGGCCAUUGAUUCGGCCAUUGAUUCGGUCAUUGAUUCGGCCAUUGCGAAAAGUCGUAACUUUCAAGGUUCACGCGUACUCACUUUGAUCGGCAAGGUCUUAACGCGGGGCUUCAAAGAUAUUUUCCAUAACUCGAAACGUCGACGGAUCUUCUUCUUUCGGAACGGAUAAUUCGAGACUGAACGUUUUCGGGCGACGAUACGUGUAUAUUUAUUAUUGUAAUCGUGGACGACUCGGGAAACUGUCUGAUGUAAUAUCGCUAUGAUAACGUUACGCCAGGGGAAAUUCGUUUCGUUGCAUACGUGCAGAAUGGCAUGGAAAAAUAGUUUUCGUAAUAAAACGUAUCUACGAUAACGCGAGGAGAUACUUUUAGCUAAGCGUAUAUUUCCUGUAGUAAUAGGUGAUAAUAUUUUGCGCAGUUAUAUUAGAAAGAAUAAAUCAAUAAGCUGGACCCUAGUUUUGUACUACCUUGUGUAGCGUUACACAUUUUACAUACCACGUUGCGAUAUUCCACGUAACUUUUUACGAAGCAAUCAUCUUAACGGACAAAUUGUUAAAACUAUAAUAUAUCGCGUUUUCUCGAUUUCCCUUGGUUUAUGGGCUCCCUUUUUCUCAUGGACAAAGAAAUAUAUCGCCCAAAUCGCAGGAACGACUUCCCGCUUCCGUUUGAUUUCGAACGAGAAGCAAACGUUGAGUCUAUAUUAGGUGACAAGAGUGGCGAUUAGUAAACGGAACCGAAGAAAUACGAGUGCCUCUCGUAGAAACUGUUAUCUGCCCUCGAUAUAAACUAACUGCGUCCAAGUAGACACGAGGGUACUUCAAAACGGAAGUUCCUUGUCGCAAAUGCAUACUUUGCUUCCGUUGGACGAUACGCAAAGGAAGUAUAAUAUUCUAACCAUAAACGCAGUUUUCCCGUUCCAUGUCCCUUCGUAAACGUAGACGAAUGAAAUCCAUUAAUAGAAUACGUAGACGUACGAGACCCAAAUUUGUAAACGACCUUCUUUACGGACUACUAUCCCCCCAUUAUCGAUAUUGACACUCGAUAUCGGACUUUUCUCUCGAGUGUUCUAUCAGACCAACUAUUGACACAUUUAUUUUGCGUUGAAAAUAAAUAACUUUUGCUACGUAUAUUGUUAUUUAAUAGUACGUUACACGCGCGGCGAAUCGAUUGGAAAAAAGUGGACCGACCGGUGAUAAGUCGACCUCGUUCCAAUAAUCUUUUUAUUCGUCUUUUAUUCCUUAAGAAUAAGAAUGAUAAAUGUUUGUCGUUUAUCGUCAAUUUGAAUCCGUCCGACGAAAGUGAGUAGGGCAUAAAUAAUUAUAUAAUUAUUCGCGAAGAAAGGUAAAAUGGAAGAGGAACGUCUCGUUCGUACGAUGAAAAUGUCGAGAAUAGAAAAAAGAAGAAAAGGAAGAGCUUCGGCGGGCAUAGUUCGCUUUGUCCGUUCGAAUUUCCGUCGAGAUCUAUACGCACGCGUCCACGCAUACGUAAAAAAAGGUCUUGGAAAUUCGAUCGGCGUGAAAAUCGAAGAGGAGCCCCCGCGUGGAAACUUUUUAGAUUUAAAAUCCAUCGGUUCUCGAAAUGGUUGUUCGUUAAAUCCGACGAGGAAAGAAUCGAAAAGAUAUUUUUGAUCGGUUCUUCGGAUAUUUUGAACGCAAUGACGUAUAUAUACCCGCUCUAUCAAUUAUCUAAAGCAAAUAUUGCAUGCAUUAAUGGACGUUUACGAUACUUUCAGCUUCGAUACGAACGCGCUUGUUCCAUCAGGUUGCAUCACUUUUUUCGUUACAUUUUUGUAUCGAUACGUCGAGCUAACGUAAAAAUAUAUUAUCGACGAUGAAACUCUCGGUCCGACCUUGCGCGGCAAGAUGAUAGAGUUAUAUUCCUUUAAUCGUGUCGAUCGUUUCGUUCGCGUCUCGAUAUCGCGCAAUUUUCGAACGUUUUAAAUAAGUUUUCGUUCUCGAUAUUUAUUCACGUGUCAUAACGGUUAUCUGCUCGAUAAGCAGUUUGCCAUAAGUAAUAGAAAAUAAAUGAUAUCUUGAUUCCGCUCUUGGAAAGAGUAGUACAUAUGAAAUUCGAAACGACGACUCGUAAUUAUUUCGUUCAUAGGUGUACGAAAUAAUGGGUAACUUUAAUGGGUAACUUUCUCGAUGGAAAGUUCCGUCUCGAAAUGGCACGAGUUAGAAAAUGAUAUUAACGGAGUCCGCGUCGCGGUCCGAAGUUGCAAUUUGCGAAAUGCGCACACCUCGCUAAACUACCUACACAUCUCGCGCGUGGAGGAAUACCGGUCUAAAGUCCGGGACGAGGAACCGACGAAAAAUGCUUCGAACCGGUUCAAGCUCGUUUCGUUUGCGCCUAUAAAAUGUACGCACGGAGGCGGUGGAAGAAAAAAUAUUGAAAAAGGGAUAAGAAAAGCUACGAAGGUAAAGCUUCGGGAGAAAAAGAAACGAGAGCUCCACCUCCAACGUCCGGUCUGUCUUCCUUCGCAACCUUCCUCUUAUAAAAGAAGAUAACAUCGAGAAAGAAGGAGAGGAUUAUUAUUCUUAUCGUUGCUACGGACCGAGUCGUCGAGAAUUAUUCUCGCCUCCCGAGAUAACGAGUAUAACGCGAUCUACAAAAAUCGCUCGAACCCGAUAUUUUGUCUGCCUGCGUGCCACCUUCUAAAUAAUUAGAACGAAAAAAAAAAAAAAGAAAAAUGAAGGAUUUUACGGAAAGAUAAAUCGAUCGAAAUUUGAAAAUAACGUGCCACGCGCGUAUCCCGUAUAACGGCUAGCUCGCACGCGUUUCCAAGGGGUUGCGGUUAAUUUAAGUCGAGGCUGUUUUGCUCCUGGUCUCCCCUCUUCCCCUUCAUUCUCCGAAGCAUCCUUUUCCUCGUCCGGUUUCUCUCUCGACGGUAAAGCUGCCAGCUGCUCGAGCUGCUGCUUAUUAUAUAUAUAUAUAUGUACAUAUGCACGUAUAUACACGGAAAUACAAUUGGGCAGGAUGCGAGCAUCCUUUUCGAAAUAAAUACUAGGAUGUCGACGAAAAGCUUACCUCGGCCUUCAAAACUAUCGUAUUUCUUUUUAACGAUUACAGUACUUUGAACGUCACGAUUGAUACGUAACGCGAGCGUGACGUCGAAAAGUAUUUCUAAUCGAUCGAUUAAGAUUAUUCGACUACGUAAAUACGUACAACUAAUACAGAAUUUUUUCCAUUCAUGUAUUUUUCAUAUUAUCUUAUUCUUAGUAAAAAGAAAUAAUUUGCGCGUCAUUCUUUAUUCGUUUAAAAUCCAUUUGAAUAAAACAUCGAUCGAAAACAUAACGUUAGAAAGGUUUGUAUACGCAUACAUAAUAUAGGAAGAAUCGGAUUUUACGUGGACGCGGGUGAUUCAUAAAUCGUAAGAAAUAUUUGUCUUGCGAAAAAGAGAGAGAGAGAGAGAGAGAGAGAGAGAGAAAGCACGUGCUCUUUGGUCACCCGCUCACCCCGGAGCUAUCGUUAAUGACUACGUACUACGAUUGCGUCAACUCGUCGUUGAAAAAAAUAGAAAAAUACAAUCGAUACGAUUUCGAAGUAGCCUGCGGUGGAACGACUCCGUUCUUUAUCGACUACCACUAAUCGCCGAGCCAAGGUGUACCGAUUAUGCGUGCGCGUCUAUUUGAAAAUGACGAUAGAAACAAACGAUACAUUUAUUUGGACGAUCUUAUUCUGAGAAACGUUAAGUAGACGCCUAAUUGAAUGCAAAAUAUUCGAGCGUUUUCUAAUUCGGAGAGCCUAUUGUCUUCUUCGAAAGCGAGCGACAACUUUGAUGUAUCCGUCUUGUAAAAAAUCCAUUUUAAUCGCGUCGUAUAUCAUACGAAAGAACGAUAAGAUUAUUUCCAGUAGUCUUCCUUUUACCGACAUUCGAGUUUGCGUCGUCUCGCGGUAGACUUUAAAACGUGGCUGCAGAAUUGUAUUCGCAUUAACGCAAUAACGUAACACGCAACUAGCGUGACUUGCAACGAGCACGCGUAAGGAAAAAGAAGCAAUUUCUUUCGCUAUUGGUGUAAUCGAGACUUAGGAAGUAUCAACGACAUUUCAGUUCUACGAGAAAGACAGAGACGAGCCGAUAAUUGCUACACACCGUAUAUUCUCUCGAUUCCGAUCGAUCGAUCGAUCGAUCGAUCGCUAACUUUGCUCGAAGCAUCGCACCUGUUCGAACCGUGAUCGUUUCGAAAUCGACCAACCGACUUCUUUCCCAAACUUAUUAACCAAUCCUGACCGAACGGACACGUUUCCGUAAUAAUUAAUAUCUCCUAAGAUCGAUGCAAAAGCUAAAUUUGUAGGUAUCGUUUGAUCGCAAAAGGAAUACAUAUCUAUCCCAUGUUUCUUUCCGAAAAAUACAAAUUUCCGAUUAGUCGAAGAAAAUAAACAAUUAUAAAUCUAAUCUCUUCUCUGUUUAGUAAUUAAAAAGGUAAGCUUUUUUCGCGUUUAAGUAGAGAUAAAUGGCACGUGCGAGAGCCGACGAUAACGACGUCUUUCCUAAUCUAAUCCUUAACGACUGCGAAGUCCCGCAUGCGUAUUGACUCGACGAAUGAAUCGAAAGAUCUAACGAUAAGUAAGCCUUAGAAAAGAGCUUUCCGUUGAGAGGCACGUACUCGUAUCCCCUUGUAUCCUCGCUACGAAAAAUGAGUAUACGUACUUGUAAGUAGGUUUACGCAUUGGAAGGAUCGAGCGCGAUCGGAAUAAUUCCCAUGUUCCUCCCCUCCUUCGACCUUCGCCUCGGUCGAGUCUCUCCAGACGCGUCGAGCUGGCCCAGCCAAGAUCGCGAGAUAGAGUUGCCAGCAUUGACUUCAAGGCCAAAUCGCUACGAGCUUUUCUAAUGUCGCGGAUCGAUAUUUCGCCGAGUCCAAGGACCCUUUCGCGACGACGAAUAACGAAGGUCUUUGCCGCGAUCCAAAGACUCCUUCCUAUCCAGUUAUCGUGCUUUACCGAUGAAAAAGGAUAUCUAUGUACGCGUUCGACGAUAAAUCGUGCUAUCUCGCGACGUAUCCUCGCUUCGAUGACCCAGUUACACGGUUAAACUCGGCGACCCCUCGGUAUUUAAGAUCAUUUGGAGAGACGGACGGCGAAGAAGGAGGGAAGCCGACGGCCGAGCAGCGCUCCUUAAAUAAACUCGUGCACGGACUAGUUGCCAUCCGUCCGUUUCUACCGUAACGUCCGCGAUGUAUCCGAAACGAGACAAAUACUCUUAAAGGAUAAUGACAUCCGACAAGAACGUAUUCUUUCCCCUCGUCGAGAGAGCAUUAAUACGUCUUCCUCCUCUGUCGUCUCUCAACGAUCCAGUUUUGCGCGGUUCUUCCUGCUCCACCGUGGGACUUUUUUAGCAACGAAUUAGAGACGACCAGCCGGAUGUACCGUAUAUCCCUACCGUAUAUCUCUACCAUAUAUCUAGUCGAAGCUACCUCGCUACGAAAUCAAUCGGAAAAUGUCUUUUAUUUGCUAUGUAUAUUACUUUUCAUAUAUAUCAAUGUACUCCGUUAA
rnacentral:lncRNA from 1 species